GGGGAAUCUUCCGCAAUGGGCGAAAGUCUGACGGUGCGACGCCGCGUGGAGGAUGAAGGCCCUAGGGUCGUAAACUCCUGUCAUCAGGGAGUAAAUGUUUGCGUAGUAACUGACGCAGGCCUUGAUAGUACCUGAAGAGGAAGGGACGGCAAACUUCGUGCCAGCAGCCGCGGUAAUACGAAGGUCCCAAGCGUUGUUCGGAUUUACUGGGCGUAAAGCGUCUGUAGGCGGCGCGGUAAGUCAGAUGUGAAAUCCCGGGGCUCAACCCCGGAACUGCAUCCGAUACUGCCGUGCUUGAGGGUCGGAGGGGAGUCUGGAAUUCUCGGUGUAGCAGUGAAAUGCGUAGAUAUCGAGAGGAACACUAGUGGCGAAGGCGAGACUCUGGACGACACCUGACGCUGAGAGACGAAGGCCAGGGGAGCGAAAGGGAUUAGAUACCCCUGUAGUC
rnacentral:rRNA from 1 species